rnacentral:misc_RNA from 1 species
GAAAUGCGAUAAGUAAUGUGAAUUGCAGAAUUCAGUGAAUCAUCGAAUCUUUGAACGCACAUUGCGCCCCCUGGUAUUCCGGGGGGCAUGCCUGUUCGAGUGUCAUUUCACCACUCAAGCCUCGCUUGGUAUUGGGCGACGCGGUCCGCCGCGCGCCUCAAAUCGACCGGCUGGGUCUUUCGUCCCCUCAGCGUUGUGGAAACUAUUCGCUAAAGGGUGCCGCGGGAGGCCACGCCGUAAAACAACCCCAUUUCUAAGGUUGACCUCGGAUCAGGUAGGGAUACCCGCUGAACUUAAGC